rnacentral:lncRNA from 1 species
AUCAAUCCUUGAGAAUACUUCAGCAACACUUGUAGAAUUUGAAAUCAUGCAAACUGCCCUUUGAACCUUAGCCAAAUCCCCACCAGGUACCACAGUUGGAGGCUGGUAGUUGAUGCCACACUUGAACCCUGUGGGACACCAAUCAACAAACUGGAUGGUCCUUUUGGUCUUGAUUGUUGCCACUGCAGCAUUCACAUCUUUAGGCACCACAUCUCCUCUGUACAUCAAGCAACAAGCCAUGUAUUUCCCAUGGCGUGGAUCACAUUUGGCCAUCAUUGAAGCUGGUUCAAAUGCACUGCUUGUGAUUUCUGCCACUGAUAGUUGCUCAUGGUAAGCCUUUUCCGCUGAAAUCACUGGUGCAUAUGAAGACAACAUGAAAUGGAUUCUAGGGUAUGGGACUAAAUUGGUCUGAAACUCAUUCACAUCCACAUUCAAAGCACCAUCAAAUCUCAAAGAUGCAGUCAAGGAAGAAAUAACCUGUAAACGAUCCAAACAUCGUAAGUAUACACAUACAGUGCAAACAAUCAAAUUAAUGCUAUGAUUUAUUGUACCUGAGAGACCAGCCUGUUGAGAUUAGUGUAAGCAGGCCUCUCAAUAUCAAGAGAUCUUCGGCAAAUAUCGUAGAUAGCUUCAUUAUCGAGGAGAACUGCGACAUCAGUGUGCUCUAACAGAGAAUGAGUUGACAAAACACUAUUGUAAGGCUCUACAACAGAUGUGGAAACCUGUGGGGAAGGGUAAACAGUGAAACCCAGUUUUGAUUUCUUUCCAUAAUCCACUGAAAGCCUUUCAAGAAGCAAUGAUCCAAGACCAGAUCCAGUUCCUCCACCAACAGCAUGAAACACCAAAAACCCCUGAAGUCCAGUACAGUUAUCUGCUAGCUUUCUGAUCCUAUCAAGGCAA